ACAGAGCAGAUUGGAGAGAGUACAUAGCGCUUGAUGUCGGCGCUAGGAGAGCUACUGUUGGAAGAUGUAAAUACACUUUGGACAGCAUAGAGAGAUGAAAGGAGUCCGACUCGCAAACUGCUUGGGGAAUAAAAACUCAGACCAUGGGUUCUUUCAGCUAGGAAAGUCAUGGCAAUGCUGAGUGAACAAUAAGAUUCCUGUCAGUAAUGGACGUGGACGUGUAAUGUAGACACAUGACGGUAAAUGUAAGUAGUUAAGCACUUCCGGUUUAGUGCUCUUUCGGUUAAGGGAUGUGUUCCGAG
rnacentral:lncRNA from 1 species